rnacentral:rRNA from 1 species
UAGCAUAUCAAUAAGCGGAGGAAAAGAAACCAACAGGGAUUGCCCUAGUAACGGCGAGUGAAGCGGCAACAGCUCAAAUUUGAAAUCUGGCUCUUUUAGGGCCCGAGUUGUAAUUUGCAGAGGGCGCUUUGGCUUUGGUAGCGGUCCAAGUUCCUUGGAACAGGACGUCACAGAGGGUGAGAAUCCCGUACGUGGUCGCUAGCUAUUGCCGUGUAAAGCCCCUUCGACGAGUCGAGUUGUUUGGGAAUGCAGCUCUAAAUGGGAGGUAAAUUUCUUCUAAAGCUAAAUAUUGGCCAGAGACCGAUAGCGCACAAGUAGAGUGAUCGAAAGAUGAAAAGCACUUUGGAAAGAGAGUCAAACAGCACGUGAAAUUGUUGAAAGGGAAGCGCUUGCAGCCAGACUUGCUUGCAGUUGCUCAUCCGGGCUUUUGCCCGGUGCACUCUUCUGUAGGCAGGCCAGCAUCAGUUUGGGCGGUGGGAUAAAGGUCUCUGACACGUUCCUUCCUUCGGGUUGGCCAUAUAGGGGAGACGUCAUACCACCAGCCUGGACUGAGGUCCGCGCAUCUGCUAGGAUGCUGGCGUAAUGGCUGUAAGCGGCCCGUCUUGAAACACGGACCAAGGAGUCUAACAUCUAUGCGAGUGUUUGGGUGUCAAGCCCGAGCGCGUAAUGAAAGUGAACGGAGGUGGGAACCCGCAAGGGCGCACCAUCGACCGAUCCUGAAGUUUACGGAAGGAUUUGAGUAAGAGCAUGGCUGUUGGGACCCGAAAGAUGGUGAACUAUGCUUGAAUAGGGUGAAGCCAGAGGAAACUCUGGUGGAGGCUCGCAGCGGUUCUGACGUGCAAAUCGAUCGUCAAAUUUGGGCAUAGGGGCGAAAGACUAAUCGAACUAUCUAGUAGCUGGUCUGCG